rnacentral:misc_RNA from 1 species
AACGCAUAUUGCGCUCUCUGGUAUUCCGGAGAGCAUGCUUGUUUGAGUAUCAGUAAACACCUCAACUUCCAUAUCUUUUUUUGAAAUGGGAGUUGGACUUGAGUGAUCCCAACGCUUUUCCUCACCGAAAAGUGGCGGGUUACUUGAAAUGCAGGUGCAGCUGGACUUUUCUCUGAGCUAUAAGCAUAUCUAUUUAGUCUGCCUAAAAAACAGAUUAUUACCUUUGCUGCAGCUAACAUAAAGGAGAUUAGUUCUUGUGCUGACUGAUGCAGGAUUCACAAAGACAGCUUCGGCCGACUUUGUAAACUCGAUCUCAAAUCAAGUAAGACUACCCGCUGAACUUAA